AAUUUUCAUUGCUGGGGUUGUGUAAUAAGUACAAUCUUUGCGCACCUUCUUUAGGGGGAACUGUGAGAAAGGAAUCAAGUGUGUACCCUUCAGAGUCUUGUUUUGAUCUGCAUCAUCUAAUCCAUCACCUAUCAGCCAUACCUGUGGGUUGUAAUUACUGGAAAGUGUCAAAUUACUUCCUAUACUUUCAGAGAGAAGUGACUUAAGCAUAUGGUACUCGUGCUUUCUUGUCAUCAUUACCUGGACACCCAUUUUGUAUAAUGCUUGGGCUAGUGCACGGGCAACCUUUACUGGAUUUCCUUGAAGAAGAACUUGUUUUGUUCCAUCAGGUAUAUUGUUUAGAACCAAAGCGGUCAUCAAGCUACUCCCAUCGAUGAUUUUCAACUUUAGUUUUGGAUACUUUUGAAUAUAAAG
rnacentral:misc_RNA from 1 species